AGGAUCCUCUCACUGAGUAAUUCU
rnacentral:siRNA from 1 species